rnacentral:lncRNA from 1 species
UUUUUUUCACUAAAGAUUAUGUAUAUUAAAGAUCCACAGAAUACACAGCCCACAGGCCCAGUACAUCACAUCUUGUAAAAGGAAGGAUAAUCUAAUCUCUAAUACAAUACACGUUCUUAAAACAACGACACGUGGAAUCAACGUGUUGCAAGAGAAAUGAUGAAACAUUCCUUCAUCCUUUGCCGACAAGAGCUCCGAUCCGGUGAACGCAAUCGACGCCGGUAUAACAGCGAACAUCGAUUUUAGUUGUUACUCACCAGAGACUGCUAAGACAGGGAGAGAGGAUACAAAAACAGAGACUUCAAUCCCAUCCGUAUGCCAAAUCAUCAAACAAGAAAUCCGGCGAAUAUCGGGUAAAAAGGAUAGAAAAUCUGAUUGAUCCUCAAAAUUUGAUCAUCGAAGCACCAAUUACAUGUAGAACGGCUACAGGCAAUCCAAAUAUGCUGGAACAAAACUUCCUUUCAUUACUUUGGCGAUCCUGCAAAUCGAGUUUUCUAGAGAUACAAGCCGGUGAGAAUAAUCUUAAGUGACUAACACCUAAAACUAAUCACCAACUGAAAUCCAUAGAAUUAUUGACAGAUAAACGAAAGAGAAACUAAAAACAAUCGGUAUACAAACCGAUCAACGGCUAAAGAAAUAUAAAAGCCGGCCAAAACCGCUAGUAGAAGCCAGAUUUGCCGGACGAAAGCCAGCCAUCUUGGCUAACAGAGCCAUAAGAUGCCGGACGAAAGCCCGAAUCACUCGGGACGG